rnacentral:rRNA from 1 species
GACGAGGGAUCCUAGCGUUGUUCGGAAUCAUUGGGCGUAAAGCGUAUGUAGGCGGCCUUGUAAGUCAGGUGUGAAAGCCCUUGGCUUAACCAAGGAAGUGCUUUCGAAACUACCGGGCUUGAGUACGGGAGAGGGUCGCGGAAUUCCCGGUGUAGUGGUGAAAUGCGUAGAGAUCCGGAGGAACACCAGUGGCGAAGGCGACACGCUGGGCCGUACCUGACGCUAAAGCGCGACAGCAUGGGGAGCAAGCGGG